CAACAGAACCCAGGGCUGGCAGUCAGGACUCUCGUAUCGGUGUAACCCGGUAUGCGUGAGCAGCCGUAGCGGGAUCAAAAGGGUUAAGGCACCAGCACCGCCACCAGCACCUCUCACUACUCUCUUACCAGUGUAAAAUCGACACUGUGCCUAGCCUCCUGGCUAGGGAGGGUGGCCCGGUCACUGGCAUCCAGAGGCAAAGCCUGUUUCCGAUGGUUCUGAUACGUCAUCCUGCAUGUGUACUACUGACACAGCUCUUUCACAGCAUGCAUGUGGUUGCUGUCUGCAUCACCUAACUGUCUCCACUCUCAGCAGGAAUGGAAAAUAG